AUAGAUACCCGGGUAGUCCACGCCGUAAACGAUGUCGACUUGGAGGUUGUUCCCUUGAGGAGUGGCUUCCGGAGCUAACGCGUUAAGUCGACCGCCUGGGGAGUACGGCCGCAAGGUUAAAACUCAAAUGAAUUGACGGGGGCCCGCACAAGCGGUGGAGCAUGUGGUUUAAUUCGAUGCAACGCGAAGAACCUUACCUACUCUUGACAUCCAGAGAACUUAGCAGAGAUGCUUUGGUGCCUUCGGGAACUCUGAGACAGGUGCUGCAUGGCUGUCGUCAGCUCGUGUUGUGAAAUGUUGGGUUAAGUCCCGCAACGAGCGCAACCCUUAUCCUUUGUUGCCAGCGGCUAGGCCGGGAACUCAAAGGAGACUGCCAGUGAUAAACUGGAGGAAGGUGGGGAUGACGUCAAGUCAUCAUGGCCCUUACGAGUAGGGCUACACACGUGCUACAAUGGCGCAUACAAAGAGAAGCGACCUCGCGAGAGCAAGCGGACCUCAUAAAGUGCGUCGUAGUCCGGA
rnacentral:rRNA from 1 species